UCUGUGUUGAAAGCAGAGGAUUGAGCUUGCCUCUGACUGGCUAGGCAGGAACCUGAGACUAGGGGACAGAAGGACCAGAGACACACCCAGUAAAGAGAGCUUUCUCUUGACUGAGGAGCCUGGCUCCAUUUCAGGUCUUCUGUGAUUUCAAUAAGGAAGAAGAAUGGAGCCUCUCCUGGUGUCUUUGGUGAUUCUAUGGCUUCAAUUGGCCAGGGUGAACAGUCAGCAAGGAGAAGAGGAACCUCAGACCUUGAGCAUCCAGGAGGGUAAAAAUGCCAUCAUGAACUGCAGUUACAAAACUAGUAUACGCAGUUUACAGUGGUAUAGACAAGAUUCAAAUAGAGGCCUUACCCAACUAAUUUUAAUAUUUUCAAAUGAAAGAAAGAAAUAUAGUGGAAGAUUAAGAUUCAUGCUUGACACUUCCAUGAAAAGCAGUUCCUUGUUCAUCGCGGCUGCCCAGGCAGCAGACACUGCUGCUUACUUCUGUGCUACGGAAGCACAGUGUUCACCAGGAGCCUGCAGCCUCUACGCAAACCCUGCCAAAGCAGCUUCUUAGAAGCCCUAACAGUGGGUAGAGUUGGUGGUUAUGUCUUUCAGUGAAGAAGAAUCUACAAACAGCUGGCAAAGUGUAAGGGGAACCCUUUCAAAUUCAUGACUUUUUAAAAAGCAUCUUGGACUAGGGGAAAAGGCAUGAAAGUUGGAAUGGGAAAUGGAAGUGCCAGGCUUCGUUCUGCUGAUCCUGGCUAUGUAGCGACCUGGUCAGUGUAGCAGCCUUCAAUUUCCUCACUUGAAAUGAAGAAUUUAGAUCAAUGAGCCCAAAAUAUUACCUAAGUCCUAAUUUUAUUAGGGAAAAAAACCAAUCACUGGGCACUUGUGAAAGAGGAGGAAGGCUGCUCAGUUUUAGAAGGUCACAUUUGUGCUAUGUGCAGCCCUCCUAAGACGUCAGUGGGUCUUUGAGAUGCAUGAGAUGGUUCUUACAUUUCUCUAAUUCUUGUAUAAGAAGUAGUAGAUUCAUUAAGCAUUAGAUUUGGAAGGUGUCCUAGGACUCUCAACCAAGCUUUUCAUUUUAGAGCUGAGGAGAGACACCAUUGCAUAAUAAGACAAAGAUCUGAAUUUUCAGAGUGAUAUUGACAAAUAUCUGGAUCUGAUUUCACCAUUUAUUAGUUGUAUGAUUCCCAAGCUUCAAUGUCUCUAUUAGGUAAAAUGGGAGUUUAUAAGAAAGUAAUAAUUUUUUUCCAUCCAAAGGAAAGGUAGGUGUUCACCACUGCCAGGUCCUAAAAUGCUGUGUUUUGAAAGCAGGCAUUUCUAGUAUCAAAUACAUAACAGUUUUUCAGCCAUUUAUUCUUGCUUCUACUGAGAAAUAAAUGCUGACUCUAGUUUUCUUGACACAGCUUUGAUACUACCGAAAGUGUGUUUGUAGAGAAAAUUAGAGCAUUUGCAUUUAGGAGCAUGCCUUGGUGAGAAAAGUGGGAGAGCACAGGGAAAGGUUGUAUAGGACAGUGGUUCCCAC